rnacentral:lncRNA from 1 species
UUUGACAGAGGUCAGCAUAUCGGACGUAACUUUUGAUUCUAAAGGUUACCGGAUUUCAAUUACGCACACAUUAUAUACAGAGCAAGAAAUCAACUAUAUCUGAUUGGUGACACAUCAGAACAAUACUCCCAUUAGAGACUGACAAGCUACAUGCUCUUUCUUACAUUCACAGAAGCUUUUGAGCCAACAGGGACCAUCACUAGCAUAAUUCCGCUGGUCAUAGUGUACCAGACUCAUAUCUUAAGUUGGCCUGAGAUUGUAUCUCAUCUUAACCACUUUCAUUUGCAGAUAUAUAUAUAUAUAUAUAUAUAUAUAUAUAUAUAUAUAUAUAUAUNNNN